AUUGAACGCUGGCGGCAUGCUUUACACAUGCAAGUCGAACGGUAACAGGCCUUCGGGUGCUGACGAGUGGCGAACGGGUGAGUAAUGCAUCGGAACGUGCCCAGAGGUGGGGGAUAACGCAGCGAAAGCUGUGCUAAUACCGCAUGUGAUCUGAGGAUGAAAGCGGGGGACCAGGCAGCAAUGUUUGGCCUCGCGCCUUUGGAGCGGCCGAUGUCCGAUUAGGUAGUUGGUGGGGUAAAGGCCUACCAAGCCGACGAUCUGUAGCUGGUCUGAGAGGACGACCGGCCACACUGGGACUGAGACACGGCCCAGACUCCUACGGGAGGCAGCAGUGGGGAAUUUUGGACAAUGGGCGCAAGCCUGAUCCAGCAAUGCCGCGUGCGGGAAGAAGGCCUUCGGGUUGUAAACCGCUUUUGUACGGAACGAAAAGGCUCUGGCUAAUACCUGGGGCUGAUGACGGUACCGUAAGAAUAAGCACCGGCUAACUACGUG
rnacentral:rRNA from 1 species